AGAGUUUGAUCCUGGCUCAGGAUGAACGCUGGCGGCGUGCUUAACACAUGCAAGUCGAACGGUGAAGCCCAGCUUGCUGGGUGGAUCAGUGGCGAACGGGUGAGUAACACGUGAGCAAUCUGCCCCUGACUCUGGGAUAAGCGCUGGAAACGGCGUCUAAUACUGGAUACGAACCGUGGAGGCAUCUUCAACGGUUGGAAAGAUUUUUUGGUCAGGGAUGAGCUCGCGGCCUAUCAGCUUGUUGGUGAGGUAAUGGCUCACCAAGGCGUCGACGGGUAGCCGGCCUGAGAGGGUGACCGGCCGCACUGGGACUGAGACACGGCCCAGACUCCUACGGGAGGCAGCAGUGGGGAAUAUUGCACAAUGGGCGAAAGCCUGAUGCAGCAACGCCGCGUGAGGGAUGACGGCCUUCGGGUUGUAAACCUCUUUUAGCAGGGAAGAAGCGAAAGUGACGGUACCUGCAGAAAAAGCGCCGGCUAACUACGUGCCAGCAGCCGCGGUAAUACGUAGGGCGCAAGCGUUAUCCGGAAUUAUUGGGCGUAAAGAGCUCGUAGGCGGUUUGUCGCGUCUGCUGUGAAAUCCCGAGGCUCAACUUCGGGUCUGCAGUGGGUACGGGCAGACUAGAGUGCGGUAGGGGAGAUUGGAAUUCCUGGUGUAGCGGUGGAAUGCGCAGAUAUCAGGAGGAACACCGAUGGCGAAGGCAGAUCUCUGGGCCGUAACUGACGCUGAGGAGCGAAAGGGUGGGGAGCAAACAGGCUUAGAUACCCUGGUAGUCCACCCCGUAAACGUUGGGAACUAGUUGUGGGGUCCAUUCCACGGAUUCCGUGACGCAGCUAACGCAUUAAGUUCCCCGCCUGGGGAGUACGGCCGCAAGGCUAAAACUCAAAGGAAUUGACGGGGACCCGCACAAGCGGCGGAGCAUGCGGAUUAAUUCGAUGCAACGCGAAGAACCUUACCAAGGCUUGACAUAUACGAGGACGCUGCAGAAAUGUAGAACUCUUUGGACACUCGUAAACAGGUGGUGCAUGGUUGUCGUCAGCUCGUGUCGUGAGAUGUUGGGUUAAGUCCCGCAACGAGCGCAACCCUCGUUCUAUGUUGCCAGCACGUCAUGGUGGGAACUCAUGGGAUACUGCCGGGGUCAACUCGGAGGAAGGUGGGGAUGACGUCAAAUCAUCAUGCCCCUUAUGUCUUGGGCUUCACGCAUGCUACAAUGGCCGGUACAAAGGGCUGCAAUACCGUGAGGUGGAGCGAAUCCCAAAAAGCCGGUCCCAGUUCGGAUUGAGGUCUGCAACUCGACCUCAUGAAGUCGGAGUCGCUAGUAAUCGCAGAUCAGCAACGCUGCGGUGAAUACGUUCCCGGGUCUUGUACACACCGCCCGUCAAGUCAUGAAAGUCGGUAACACCUGAAGCCGGUGGCCCAACCCUUGUGGAGGGAGCCGUCGAAGGUGGGAUCGGUAAUUAGGUCUCAGUCGUAACAAGGUAACC
rnacentral:rRNA from 1 species